GGCUCACCAAGCCGACGAUCUGUAAGCUGGUCUGAGAGGACGACCAGCCACACUGGGACUGAGACACGGCCCAGACUCCUACGGGAGGCAGCAGUGGGAAUUUUGGACAAUGGGGCGCAAGCCUGAUCCAGCAAUGCCGCGUGCAGGAUGAAGGCCUUCGGGUUGUAAACUGCUUUUGUACGGAACGAAACGGUGAGCUCUAAUACAGUUUGCUAAUGACGGUACCGUAAGAAUAAGCACCGGCUAACUACGUG
rnacentral:rRNA from 1 species